rnacentral:rRNA from 1 species
CUCGUAGGCGGUUCGUCGCGUCCGGUGUGAAAGUCCAUCGCUUAACGGUGGAUCCGCGCCGGGUACGGGCGGGCUUGAGUGCGGUAGGGGAGACUGGAAUUCCCGGUGUAACGGUGGAAUGUGUAGAUAUCGGGAAGAACACCAAUGGCGAAGGCAGGUCUCUGGGCCGUCACUGACGCUGAGGAGCGAAAGCGUGGGGAACGAACA